rnacentral:lncRNA from 1 species
AUGGAGGCAGGUAGCAAGGGGGGGCUUCUAGCCUUAGAAACUCACCUUUCUUUUUAUCCUCAGUGGUAAUAUGGUAUGUGCUACCUCAUGAUUACUUCCAUGGGCCCUACUCUUAACAAGGAUACAAGAUGACAUGUGGUAAGUAGGAGGAAAAUGGAAAACUCGCAGCAAUCUUUUCAAAUUCUUCCUGAGAAAUGUAUCCAUCCUGGUCGUGAUCAUAGUUCUUGAAGACAGACUGUGAAAAAGGAGUUUUUUUGGUCUUGAAGAGGAGGCACAACUGCCUUCAUAUGAGUCCAGUGUGUGUUGUCAAAAUGUAACUUUUGAAUUGUUCUAAAGCCACAGUAAGAGAAGAGACAGAUGAUCUGAAAGGAUGGUGUGUAUAGUCUGAGACUAUUAAAUUUGAGUCCAGCAAUAAAAUCCAGUUUAAAUGGCUCGCCGGUAAUUGUCGUAGUUUCUGGAGGAGGACAGCAGCUCAGUCAUCUCACCGAGAACCUACAAAGCAGAACAGACCAAUCACAGGUACCCGCUAGGCAGUGUGCAUUGUCUGUAAUGAGGACCUUGCAUGUUUGCAUCCUGUGCCAUGAUCUCACCCCAUCCAGAAUUUGUUGAGCAGGGGGUAAUUCAUGU